rnacentral:rRNA from 1 species
GACGAACGCUGGCGGCGUGCCUAAUACAUGCAAGUAGAACGCACAGUUUAUACCGUAGCUUGCUACACCAUAGACUGUGAGUUGCGAACGGGUGAGUAACGCGUAGGUAACCUGCCUGGUAGCGGGGGAUAACUAUUGGAAACGAUAGCUAAUACCGCAUAAUAUUAAUUAUUGCAUGAUAAUUAAUUGAAAGGUGCAAUUGCACCACUACCAGAUGGACCUGCGUUGUAUUAGCUAGUAGGUGAGGUAACGGCUCACCUAGGCGACGAUACAUAGCCGACCUGAGAGGGUGAUCGGCCACACUGGGACUGCGACACGGCCCAGACUCCUACGGGAGGCAGCCGUAGGGAAUCUUCGGCAAUGGACGAAAGUCUGACCGAGCAACGCCGCGUGAGUGUAGAAGGUUGUCGGAUCGUAAAGCUCUGUUGUAAGGGAAGAACGGGUGUGAGAGUGGAAAGUUCACACUGUGACGGUAUCUUACCAGAAAGGGACGGCUAACUACGUG